AAAAACAGCCUGUAACCAUUUGCUGCCUUGGCUAGAUGGUGCAAGGGCAGCCUUUAAGCAGCUAAAGCAUUCCCUGAGGAGAGCUCUGGGUCUGCCAGAUGUGUCAGAACUGUUGGAAGCAUCUUUGGUGGGGAGGGCAAACAAAGGCCAAGGUGUGCAGUGACCCCCCUGACAAGGGACUUUGAGUUAAUGGCAUCCCUGCAAGUGAACUUUGUGGGCUGUUCUCCCUGUAGGCCAGGUGACAGUCCCAGCUACAGUGAUGGGAAAAAUGGUUAAAAGACAGCCCCAAAAGCUGGAAAUCCUCCUGGAGGCUCUUGGCCAACAGAGUUUCCUGAGUUGCCCCUGAAAGAAGGACAGUGACAGCUUUUGAGUGCUGGUAGAUGCUUUUAAUAGAUAGCCUUGAGUGUGUCCUUGUUGCACCAGUAGGCCUUGUCAAAGUCCCCAUCUUCCAGGAGAUAUACCUAUUAAAGUUCCAAAUGCUCUCCAUAAUCCUUUGUUGGCUUGAGGCUCUCCCCUCAGGAACUGCAGGAACUCCUGGUGCCGCCUGGGCCGAUGGAUUGGACGCCCCAGCCCCUCCGUUCCUGCCCAGCCCCUGGGGCCGUGUCCAGUGGUGGCACUGCCAGCCCUGCAGGGGAAGUGGGAAGGGCCUUUCCAGUGGGAUGGAGCCUGGAAACUGCACAGAGCUGAGCCAAGGGAUUGAAAGGGACCAACCAAGGGAGGUGAAGAAAGAAGGAAGAAGGGAACUGAGGCAGUAGACAAGCACCUCUAAGUUACACUGUAAACAGGUGAGUUGUCUUGAAAUUCCUAAGACAGGCACUGAGGACUUUGAGGGCUCCAGACAGAGCAGACCUGGGAAGGCCCUCGGUGAAGCCCCUUGGAAACCUUCUAAGGGUAGGUGUGUAUGGUAGUGAGUGUUGGAGAAUGCCCUGAAUGUGGAACAGGAAUGUAGAGAACAAAAAGGAAUCCUCCUGUAAUGCUGCCAUAUCAGCUACAGUGGAGAUGGCUGUGUGUGCCCUUUGGGAGCUGAUUGCCAGGGCACCUGGCGGUCUGGAAUGAUUGAAGAGCAGAGGAAUAGAAGGUUGCCUGGCUUCUAAACCUCUCCAACUGAGUCUUAGAGACUUCUUUGAAGAGCUGAUUUCAGGCAGCAGAAUUGGCCCCCAGGAGGGACUCUGUGCCUGCUCUCCCGUGGCUCCAAGGGAUCUCUGGCCCUUCACGCCGGCACCGAGAUUUUCUCGGGAAGGGCCUCAGAUCCCCGGACCAGUCUGGGACACAGGCAAGAUCCCCCUGCAUUUUGGGACCGAAUGGACCCCCUGGAGGGACAGUGCUGUUGGUGCCCCCGGGUUGGGGCACCCCGAGGACUCCAGCGCGCACCGAAAGGAUUAUUCGGGGAGAUCCUCGGGGUGCCCGGCCCUGGGGAGCUCAAAGCAAGGUCCCUGCCAUGGAUUCAGGCAUUGCUGAGAGUAUCCCAGGGGUCCCUGUCCGUGCUAGACAUGGAGCUCUCUAAUGGGCUGGAAUUGGGUGAUAAAAGUGGUGCUCCAAGUGCCAAAGAAGUGUGGGAUUGGGAUUAAGAAAUGAGCAGUGAGGGUCCAAUUGGCUGUUUUCUCUUGAAUGUCACUGUAAGAGCUGCAGGAGUGCCCGGUGUGUGUUCCAGUCCCCAGCAUUUGGUUUGCACAUGUCCUGGUCAGACACAGGUCCAACUUCCUCAGUCCUUAACCCAGUAGAGGGAGAAUGAAGGACUGGCAGUGUUAAGGUGAUUGGUGUGACAGGGGUUAAACUGGGAAAACAUCGGGGAAUUCCUCAGUUUCCCUAUUUGCCAAACUCACCCAACCCUGUGCUAGGAAGAGAUUGAGUGGAAAAGUUGAGGCAGAAAUGAAAUUGAAAACUGGGGAUGUUGAAACAGUAAUUGCUGGAACUAAAUGUGUCCAAGCAGCAGCUCUUGUUGUGCAGGGAAUAACUCCUGUCAGCAGCAAGGUCCUGACUGAAGUGGCAGCUGCAGUUGUUCCUGUGGUGUGGGCCAGUGGACUUCCAGGAGAGUGGAAGAGGGCAGAACCUGAUGUGAAUGCAAGAACCUGCCAAGAAAAGCAAUGGCCAAGAUGAUUGAUGAGUGCAGGACCUGAGAGAACCACCUUGAAUGACAAUCUCGAGGAGUUUCCAGUAUUGGAUUUAAAAGAUGGUCUUUGCUGCAUCUCCUUGAGCAAGGAAAGCCAAGAAACCUUUGCUUUUGAAGGAGAAAAUCUGGGAAGCAGGGAAAGGAAGAAGAGAAGCCCCCUGACUCCUCCCUGAGCCCCAGACAACCCCUGAACUGCCUUCCUGGGAAUGGUAGGACGGGCUGGACUCUGGAUUGCUCCCUCUGGAUGUGUGGCUCUCCCCUCAGGAACUGCAGGAACUCCUGGUGCCGCCUGGGCCGAUGGAUUGGACGCCCCAGCCCCUCCGUUCCUGCCCAGCCACUGGGGCCGUGUCCAGUGGUGGCACUGCCAGCCCUGCAGGGGAAGUGGGAAGGGCCUUUCCAGGUCUUGUGGAUCACAUUGAUAGCAUGGGAUGGAGCCUGGAAACUGCACAGAGCUGAGCCAAGGGAUUGAAAGGGACCAACCAAGGGAGGUGAAGAAAGAAGGAAGAAGGGAAGUGAGGCAGCAGCCAAGCAGCCCCAAGUUCCUGUGUAAGCAGGUGAGUUGUCUUGAGGUUCCUCAGGCAGGCACUGAGGACUUUGAGGGCUCCAGACAGAGCAGACCUGGGAAGGCCCUCGGUGGAGCCCCUUGGAAACCUUGUAAGGAAACUCUGGAUCCUGGCCAUCCUCACAGCCCUUGUGGUCCCUCUGGGCGAUGCUGUUGGCCCGGGCAGUUCCCUGGAAAAGGUGCCUGGGUCGGGUGACUUGGUUCGAUUUGGAUGGAGAUGGAAAAGCAGCUCCAAACCAGGUCCCCAGGACAAGGUGAGCUGGG